AUUGAACGCUGGCGGCAGGCCUAACACAUGCAAGUCGAACGAGUGGCGGACGGGUGAGUAAUGUAUGGGAAACUGCCCGAUGGCGGGGGAUAACUACUGGAAACGGUAGCUAAUACCGCAUACUAUCAGAUGUGCCCAGAUGGGAUUAGCUAGUAGGUGGGGUAAUGGCUCACCUAGGCGACGAUCCCUAGCUGGUCUGAGAGGAUGACCAGGCCAACUGGAACUUAAACAAGGGCCAGACUCCGAAGGGAGGGAGCAGUGGGGAAAAUUUGAAAAUGGGCGAAAGCCUGAUGCAGCCAUGCCGCGUGUAUGAAUAAGGCCUUCGGGUUGUAAAGUACUUUCAGCAGGGAGGCGUUACUCGCAGAAGAAGCACCGGCUAACUCCGUGCCAGCAGCCGCGGUAAUAC
rnacentral:rRNA from 1 species